ACCAUUUGCCUGAAGCUCCUCAUCCCCUUCCUUGUGCCUCCUCAGAAUUCUACCAGUGCACCUCAUUCAGACAUUCAUCAAGAAAAAGGCCAGCUGAAGGCAGACAGCCAACAAAACUCAGUCGUUAGCCACAGCCCUGGCUGUCCUCGUCCAUCAAGCCUGCCCAUUGUGAGCUUCCAUUCAUCUUACCUGUCUGUUAUGGAAGAGUGAAGUGGAAAAGGCAUGGAGGACUCAGAAGACCUGCUACCGAGAAGAGCCCCAUUGCAAUCAGAAGAUUAUUUAUGGAAAAAAGCAAAAUGGAGAUAUUUAAAAGACGGAGAGAGACAGCAGAAAGCUGCUUAAGAAAUUGCUUUGAGUCCACAGGAGGGAAGCACAAAGGAGAUGGGAUAAUAGUGUUAUACACUACAUGAUAUCACAGAGCUGGCAGAGUUAAUGAGUAUCUUGGACAAUUGCACCAAAUGCAAUGGAUUGGGAUCACUAAAUCAAGACGUAAUUUGAUAGAAAUAAAGGUAAGGCCACUUUAUUCCAGAUACCAACUGCAAAAGAGACAAGAUAAUAGAGAAAGUUUGGGCUUUAGCAGCACUAAUGAUUGAAAAAGUCACAGGGCUUUAGUUAGUAUCAGUCAACUUUAUGAAUCAGCUACCCAGAAAGGCUAAUAUGAUUUUAGGAUGCACUACUAUAAAUGAAGUAACUAGAAUGACAAGAAAAUUGACCUUUAUUUUAUGCCAAUCAUUCCACAUCAAAUGUGCCUCAGGUUAGGUGCCAAACUCUAGGAGGCUAUUC
rnacentral:lncRNA from 1 species